rnacentral:rRNA from 1 species
AGUGAACGCUGGCGGUAGGCCUAACACAUGCAAGUCGAACGGCAGCACAGUAAGAGCUUGCUCUUACGGGUGGCGAGUGGCGGACGGGUGAGGAAUACAUCGUAAUCUACUUUUUCGUGGGGGAUAACGUAGGGAAACUUACGCUAAUACCGCAUACGACCUACGGGUGAAAGCAGGGGAUCUUCGGACCUUGCGCGAUUGAAUGAGCCGAUGUCGGAUUAGCUAGUUGGCGGGGUAAGGCCCACCAAGGCGACGAUCCGUAGCUGGUCUGAGAGGAUGAUCAGCCACACUGGAACUGAGACACGGUCCAGACUCCUACGGGAGGCAGCAGUGGGGAAUGUUGGACAAUGGGCGCAAGCCUGAUCCAGCCAUACCGCGUGGGUGAAGAAGGCCUUCGGGUUGUAAAGCCCUUUUGUUGGGAAAGAAAAGCAGCAGGUUAAUACCCCGCUGUUCUGACGGUACCCAAAGAAUAAGCACCGGCUAACUUCGUG